GACGAACGCUGGCGGCGUGCUUAACACAUGCAAGUCGAACGGAAAGGCCCUGCUUUUGUGGGGUGCUCGAGUGGCGAACGGGUGAGUAACACGUGAGUAACCUGCCCUUGACUUUGGGAUAACUUCAGGAAACUGGGGCUAAUACCGGAUAGGAGCUCCUGCUGCAUGGUGGGGGUUGGAAAGUUUCGGCGGUUGGGGAUGGACUCGCGGCUUAUCAGCUUGUUGGUGGGGUAGUGGCUUACCAAGGCUUUGACGGGUAGCCGGCCUGAGAGGGUGACCGGCCACAUUGGGACUGAGAUACGGCCCAGACUCCUACGGGAGGCAGCAGUGGGGAAUAUUGCACAAGGGGCGGAAGCCUGAUGCAGCAACGCCGCGUGCGGGAUGACGGCCUUCGGGUUGUAAACCGCUUUCGCCUGUGACGAAGCGUGAGUGACGGUAAUGGGUAAAGAAGCACCGGCUAACUACGC
rnacentral:rRNA from 1 species